rnacentral:rRNA from 1 species
UACGUAGGUGGCGAGCGUUGUCCGGAUUUAUUGGGCGUAAAGAGCUCGUAGGCGGCUCAGUAAGUCAGGUGUGAAAACUCCAGGCUCAACCUGGAGACGCCACCUGAUACUGCUGUGGCUAGAGUCCGGUAGGGGAGCAUGGAAUUCCUGGUGUAGCGGUGAAAUGCGCAGAUAUCAGGAGGAACACCAGUGGCGAAGGCGGUGCUCUGGGCCGGAACUGACGCUGAGGAGCGAAAGCGUGGGGAGCAAACAGG